GUUUGGUGGAGGGUUUAGGUGUGUUUAGGCUGAAGACCCCCAGGCGCAGAUGUCCAGUUGUCAGGUGUACGGGGUAACUGUGACGAUAAAAGGGAAGAACACCUGGAGAACAUGGAGCAGCACGACCAGCAUAACAACAGCAACAUAACAACACCAGCCUAACAACACAACACCAGCAUAACAGCAGUGCAGCAACACCAGCGUAACAACAACAUAACAACACCAAUGUAACAACAGCAACAUAACAACAUUGGCGUAACAUAACAACAUCAGAAUAACAGCAGUGCAACACCAGUGUAACAACAACAUAACAACAGCAGAGUAACAACGGCAACAUAACAGCAGCAACGUAACAACACUGGUGUAACAACAGCAACGUAACAACACUGGCGUAACAGCAACAUAACACUGGUGUAACAACAUAACACCAGCAUAACAACAACAAAACAACACCAGCAUAACAACAUAACACCACCGUAACAACAGCAACAUAACAACACUGGUGUAACAACAAUGCAACACCAGUGUAACAACAGCAACAUAACACUGGUGUAACAACAAUAUAACAACACUGGCGUAACAACAGCAACAUAACAGCACUGGCGUAACGACAACAUAACAGCACUGGUGUAACGACAUAACACUGGCGUAACAACAGCAACACCAGUGUCAACAGCAAUGUAACAACACCAGCAUAACAACAACAUAACACCAGCUUAACAACAGCAAUAUAACACCAGCUAACAGCAACGUAACAACACUGGCGUAACAACAUAACGACACCGGCGUAACAACAGCAACGUAACAACACCGGAGUAACAACAUAACACCAGCAUAACAGCAGUGCAACAACACCAGCAUAACAACAUAACAACAGUAACAUAAUACCAGUGUAACAACAACAUAACAGCAGAGUAACAACAGCAACAUAACACCACCAGCAUAACAACAACGUAACAACACUGGCGUAACAACAGCAACAUAACACUGGUGUAACAACAACAUAACAACAGUAACACAACACCAGCAUAACAACAACAUAACAACACCAGAGUAACAACAGCAAUGUAACAACACUGGUGUAACAACAACAUAACAACACCAGCAUAACAAUGUAACAACACCGAUGUAACAGCAGCAACAUAACAACACCGGUGUAACAACAACAUAACACUGGUGUAACAAUGUAACACCAGCGUAACAACAACAAAACAACACCGGCAUAACACUGGCACAACACCGGCAUAACAGCAACAUAACAACGGUGUUAACAGCAAUGUUACAACACCAGCAUAACAAUAUAACACCAGCUUAACAGCAAUGUAACAACACUGGUGUAACAGCAACAUAACACCAGUGUAACAACACAACACCGGCAUA
rnacentral:lncRNA from 1 species